ensembl:lncRNA
CUCACCUCCCUCAUCUUCUCUUUCCACUGUUGCCAUUUCAGCGAGGAAACUGGAGAAACGCACCCUUGCUUCCUUCUGCCUCAGGCCCAAGACCCCACAGUCUCCUGAAGGCGCUACGUGGACCAGCGGCUCCUGGGUGGACACUGCAGCAGGCAGAUUCUUUAUGGUCUGAACCACCAGGGAAGCUCCAAUGCAGCGGGCGCUGAUUCAGUACCUGGUGGAGGAACUAAGAUCCGUUAUACCUUUCAGCCACAGCACACUGCUAACUGCCGUGAAACCAAGCAACAAGUCACUCCCCAGGAACAAAGGUGACGGCCACCAGGCCGCAGAGCCUUGACCUCAUCUCUUUUCCUACGUGCGGUCCACCCCGUAAUCAUUGUGCCUCCAGGGAGCAUGCCCGCCAAGCAGCGCACGCUGUCAGCCUCCUGUUUACAGAGCCUUUCUGGCGUCAGGUAUAUAGGAUCAUGACCCCUGUGUGUUCCUUCCCUGUCUUCCUUGGCAGGUGCUGUGACAUAAGAAGGAUGCAUGCAUCUUUUUUUUUUCAGGCAGUUGAGACAGCUUAUCUCUCCCCUGAUGCUUGUUAAAAAGGAUUUGAAAUUGAG